AUGCUGUUGAAUGAUGAGAGCUUUGAGUGAUCCAUCGACUGAAUAUGGUUAAAGAUGAGCCUUGAAGCACUGACAACAGCUU